GAGAGAGACGGGGAGAGACGGAGAGAGACGGAGAGACAGACAUUUCCACCUUAACUCCACUACAGCUUUGAUAAUGUUACAUCUUAUUGGUUAUGAAAGUUGAACUAAUAGUGUGUGAUAUUAGUGUGUUGUCCAGCUGCUGAAGGAACCACUUUACAAAGACUUCAGAUGGACUCAUUCGUCUGGUUUGUGUCUGUGGUUUACAGCUGUCUUCCACAGUGGUGGACGAAAAGACACUUCUGACUCCUCCUCUAAUGCUCGGUGGAACAGAGCCUGUGACAGCUGGAUACUGGAUGAUCAGCCUUCAGGAUCACAUGUGGGGGCGUCCACCCAACCUUUGUGACAGGGCUUUCUGUUGUUCACAUCUUUAACUGGGAAGCUGCCUGUACAAGGAAAGACUGAUGCGGCCCAUCUGACAUUUUGUCUUUCAUUUCACAUUUUUGCUGCAUUUCAUUUCCCUUAAUCAUUCAGUAUACGUUGUUCAGAAUAUCACAUCAAAACAGGGAACCAAGGUUUUGUUAAAGAGGAGUUUAAUUUACAGGAAUUGACUGUCAUCAUGCUGCUAUUACAUUAAAUUACAUUGUUCUGUAUUUGAGAUUAUGUUGAAUUUCAUUUAAAACAAUAAUAAACAGACAAGUUGA